rnacentral:tRNA from 1 species
GCGCCCGUAGCUCAAUUUGGAUAGAGCGAGGCACUCCUAAGGCCGAGGUUGGCGGUUCAAGUCCGCCCGGGCGCG